CCGAGAAACGGGUCUGUUAUACCAUCAGAUUCCUCUAUUUGUAACAGAUUUUUUUUGACAACUAUACAACUGGUUAUGAGUUGGACUUAUUUUACUCGGUAGGUUCUUUGAGUCUUGUUGUAAUUUGACGCCAUUUUAAGUAAAACUGCAUGGAUCCGAAUUAAAGAGAAGUAAAGCAUAGACUGAGAAAUCCUUUCCCAACAAAUUGGUGUUGAAUUCUGCAUCAGUUUCUAUGCUGAAAAGCUGGACCUAUUUCAGAGUGAAGACAAGCAUUAAUUUGACUCAUUCUAACCAGCAUAUUUUUUUUUCUGCUACUUUCCUGAAUUAGAUUCUGUUCAAUUUGGAGUUGUGGAUGCUUUCUCUCUGAAAAUAUUAGCUUCAUGGUGUGGGUUGUUUUCUUGUCUUCUUGGAAAUGCCAAAUGGUUUGCUUCAAUUGUUUGGCGAGAUCCUUCACCUGCUCAUGUUUUGGUCGAUUCAUAAUGUUUUCUUUGUAAUGGUUUUGGUCAGGUGUGAAAAGGGCAAAGUUUACAGCAUUUUCAAAGUAUGAUAUAUUUUGUCCUUGGAAAAUUUUAGGCAAAAUCUCCUUUACACUGACUUUUUCUUUAUGAGUCAGUGUUUUCUAGACAAUACAGUUCAUAAUGCAUGUCCAUUCUUCUAAGCUUUACCUCAGACUCCACUCUUGUAACUUCAAUUGCAAGAUGGGAGCAAGACAAAACUAUUUUUGAUAAUUCUGGCAACAGUGGUAUGUAGUGGUAUGACUUAUGUAGGGCCACAACAAAUGUAAGAAAAAUGGCGCAACUCAAACAAAUUUUAAAGAUAUUUCAAAACAAUCUUCCGUGUUGUGUUAUCCUGAAGAGAAGUGACAGCUAUGGUCACUUCGUCUAAAUUUGUAGACGACUCACAGCAUUUACACUGUGAAGCUGGAUUAUAAUCGCUUCCAAGUCAGAAUGUAACUUGACAUAAUGGGUUUAAAACCCAAAUAUGAAUAAACUGUUAUGUUGGAAAUAAAAACAGCAACAUUUUGAUGUGCUUAGAAGAACUUUACCAAAAAAUUUCCACCCAAAAAUAAAAAGCACUACCUUCCUACCAGCGUCUCUCUCUGUGUUUUUAUACUGGUAAAUGCAAUGAAAAAAAUCUGAAUCAAAAUUCCUUGUGGAGGAAAACACAAGGCAAUUGAAAAAUAAUCAUGCAUAAUAAUAAUAAAAUAAAAAAGGGUAUUAAUAAUGGAAAACCACCUUUCCUGGAAAAAGUUCCUGCAGAAAUAUGGCCUUAAAUGCACACUGAUGGGAAUCAGAGAAAUGAUCACUAAUGGAUUGUGCAGUUUUUUUUUACUUUAGAAAAAACUGUAAAUGUUUGUCCUAAUAAAGUUCAAUCACAUUCAACUGUGGUUCAUUUUAAAUAGGAAUGCUAAAUAAACCCUGUGACAUACAUGGGUACAUUUAAAAAUGGCCCUGGGUUGGAGCUCUCGCAUCGAAUCACAGUUGUCAUCAUAAUAUCAUCACGUGCAACAGCAAAGGACUCUCUGGAUGCGAUAUUUGGCACAGUAAUAUUUCAAGCGUGAUGCAUUUGCACGCUGUUUGCAAAAACCUGACUCACUGCUUGUGAUGCACAAAGUCAGAAUAAUUGUAAGUGAGAUGUCAAAGUUUGUGGCUAGCUGGUAGAAACUUCUUGAUGACAAUAAAGAACCAGAAAGAGGUGAGAAAUGCAAUUAAUUUGGAUUCGAUAAUAAAUAAAAACCGUUAAAUUGUAUCCAUCCCCUUAUAUGCAGACACCUGCUUUAUGUGCUUGAAAAGGUUGGAUAUGAAAAGAUCAAAGCUGCUAAUGUGAGGAGAGACCCUUCUUUAAAAAUACACACCAACAAAUAGACUCAAAGGAUUAGACCGUUCACAUCCUUGUUUGACCCUGCAGUCUUUACUUCAAGUGGUAUACAGGUGGGUGAUGCAACAUAACAAAGGUCUGCUGAGAAACAUUCAAAGGAACUUUGUGCAAGGAUAGUAGGAAAAGCACUAGAUACCCUGUUUUCAAUCAAAAGAUGCGUCAGAUAAUAAUUAAGAAAACCUUAAAGAAGACACUUUUUUGGUACCAAUAUCAAACAAGUCCACAAAUAAAAUGUUGCAUUUUGGUAGAUCUUCUGCCCUGUUGUCCUGUGUUCUAAUCCGCAACAUAAACAACACUGACUCUCAAUGUCACAUGUGGACUGCAGACUCUUGGCUCCGAUUAGCUUCUUACGGCAGCAGGGUAAGCGUGUGUGGAACCCACGUGGGGCCAGAGAGUAAUCUUUACUUAAAAAUGUCUGCAUGUUAAAUUCAUUUG